rnacentral:rRNA from 1 species
AGCAUCCUGACUCUCAAAACGCUAUGNUAAGUUUGAUCAUGGCUCAGACUUGAGACGCUNGCGGCAGGCCUAACACAUGCAAGUCGAACGGUAACAGGAAGCAGCUUGCUGCUUCGCUGACGAGUGGCGGACGGGUGAGUAAUGUCUGGGAAACUGCCUGAUGGAGGGGGAUAACUACUGGAAACGGUAGCUAAUACCGCAUAACGUCGCAAGACCAAAGAGGGGGACCUUCGGGCCUCUUGCCAUCGGAUGCGCCCAGAUGGGAUUAGCUAGUAGUGGGGUAACGGCUCACCUAGCGACGAUCCCUAGCUGGUCUGAGAGGAUGACCAGCCACACUGGAACUGAGACACGGUCC